UACGGAGGGAGCUAGCGUUGUUCGGAAUUACUGGGCGUAAAGCGCACGUAGGCGGCGAUUUAAGUCAGAGGUGAAAGCCCGGGGCUCAACCCCGGAACUGCCUUUGAGACUGGAUUGCUAGAAUCUUGGAGAGGCGAGUGGAAUUCCGAGUGUAGAGGUGAAAUUCGUAGAUAUUCGGAAGAACACCAGUGGCGAAGGCGGCUCGCUGGACAAGUAUUGACGCUGAGGUGCGAAAGCGUGGGGAGCAAACAGG
rnacentral:rRNA from 2 species